CUCUACUGGUGAAAAUAACUGCAGACGGCUGGUAAAAAGUUGGAAUAGCUUUCGUUAAGCGUCGGAUGUGUAGAGUGCUGAGUUAGGGGCUGGACUAGAGACGUUGGGACAUCUCCCGGGAACAGCAGCCUGGAGGGGAAAAAUCUCCUGACCUAAGUGGUCAUUCGGCCUUGGCGCUUGGACACGGGAGUGCGGCGACAGCCAUAUGUCCAUCCAUCUUGGCACUUUUCCGUCCUCUGCCUUUGAAGAUGGGUGUGCCCGGCAGGCUGUGAAAGAUAAACAUUAGAGGGUUGUUUAGAAGACUUUUUUGACCUGAGCCCAUGAGGUGCAUACCCUUUGUUUGGCGGAGAAACCAGUGGCUUCUGAAGAUCAGGGACGGGCCACAAGUGCGAGGCAUUGCAGACAUUUCGAACCCAGACUUCCAGCCUGGAGACAUCCACACGCUUCCAGUUUCUUGCACUGGUACUUCAUUCUGUCAUUAUGAUUGCCACCACUCGUAACUGAGAGUUGCGUGCCCUCAAGUUUUGAGUGUCUGCAGGGUACCUUUGAGCUUUCUUAGCUGUGUAGUGAGUGGGGGGAAUGGAGAAAAUGAAGGACAGAUGACUGAUUUGUAGUUUUUCAUUUGGACACUGUCCUUGCCGCACAAGCACAGCAGCUUGAACCUCUUUGAACAAGAGUCGAGAGUUCUUUUACAGCUAAUUACCCACUAGUUAAACUUGAUCAUACUGUGCUGUUUUCUUCCUCUCCAUUGUCAAUGUAAUACGGCUCCUGACAAAAGUUAAAUUCGCUGGGCGUGGUGGCUCACCCCUGUACUCCCAGCACUUUGGGGGCUGAGGCGGGUGGAUCACCUGAAGUCAGGAAUUCAAGACCAGCCUGGCCAACAUGGUGAAACCCCGUCUCUACUAAAAAUACAAAAGUUAGCUGCGUGUGGUGGCGGGCGCCUGUAAUCCCAGCUACUCAGGAGGCUGAGGCAGGAGAAUCGUUUGAACCCGGGGGGGCGGAGGUUGCAGUGAGCUGAGAUCGCGCCACUGCACUUCAGCCUGGGUGACAGAGUGAAACUCCGUCUCAAAAAAAAAAAAAAAAGCCGGGCGCUGUGGCUCACACCUAUAAUCCCAGCACUUUGGGAAGCCGAGGGGGGAGGAUCUCGAGGUCAGGAGUUGGAGACCAGCCUGACCAACAUGGAGAAACCUCGUCUCUACUAAAAAUACAAAAUUAGCCAGGCGUGGUGGUGGGCACCUGUAAUCCCAGCUACUGGGGAGGCCGAGGCAGGAGAAUCCUUUGAUCCCGGGAAGCAGAGGUUGCAGUGAGCCGAGAUCACACCAGAGAUGCACGCCAGCCUGGGCAACAGAGCAAGAUUCCUUCUCGAAAAACAAACAAACAAACAAAAAAACAGUUCAAAAGACACAGAAUGGACUGGUGGCGAUGGCCCACGCCUGUAAUCCCAGCACUUUGGGAAGCCAAAGCGGAAGGAUCGCUUGAAGUCAGGAGAACAGCCUGGGCAGCAUAGUGAGACCUCGUUUCUACUUAAAACAAAAACAAACAAACAAACAAAAAAACAACAGGUGUGGUGACUUAGACCUGUGGUCCCAGCUACUCAGGAGGCUGAGAUGGGAGGAUCACUUGGGCCCCAGCCGUUGAGGACUGCAGUGACCUAUGAUCGCACCACUGCUCUCCAUCCUGGGUGACAGAGUGAGACCCUGUCUCAAAAAAAAAAAAAAGCACAGGAUGUAAAAUCAGGCAUUAGGUUUGCUAUUCCUACAUGUAAACUUAUGGAACAUUUUCUUGUUUCCUUUCAUUUUGUUUUACAAAAAGGAUGAUCCCAUUGUUAACUUUUUCUCUUUACCACUUAGUGGAUGCCUUCCACUGUCUCACCACAAUCUUAUCCUUUUAAGCAGUUGCCUAUCAGGUGUCUCCACUGCUCACAUUUGGGACAAAAAUAAUGCAAUGUGCAGUCGCUCACGCCUGUAAUCCCACCACUUUGGGAGGCCAAAGUGAGCAGAUCACCUGAGGUCAGUAGUUUGAGACCAGCCUGGCCAACAUGGUAAAACCCCAUCUCUACUAAAAAUACAAAAAAGACUGUCUCAAAAUUUUUUUUUAUAAAAAUAAUAAUGCAAUGGUUAUCCAACCGUGAGAAUUCGGAGGAGACCUUGUUAAAACACAUUUCUGGGUGUCUCUAGGAUUGUUUUGCAUUUGUAACAAGUUCCCAGGUAAAGUUGCUCUUGCUUAUUGAGGAGGACACUUUGAGAACCACCACCAUAAAGGGUCAUAAAACGCAAUUAAAAAAAAAAUUCACAGUAAAACAAAAAAGGGUGGGUGUAAGGCCCUGCAUGGUGGCUGAUGCCUAUAAUCCUAGCACUUUGGGAAGGCGAGGCAGGCAGAUCACUUGAGGCCAGGAGUUUGAGGCCAGCAUGGCCAACAUCGCGAAACCCCAUCUCUACUAAAAAUACAAAAAUUAAUCAGGCACAGGGGCACACGCUUGUAAUCCCAGCUACUCGGGAGGCUGAGACAGGAAAAUCGCUUGAACCAGGGAGGCUGAGGUUGCAGUGAGCCAAGAUAGCACCACUGCAUUCCAGCCUGGGUGACAGAGUGAGACCCUGUCUCGGGGGGUGGGGGGAAAGGGUGGGUGUGGGUAGGGAGCUAUCCAUUAAAAAGUCAAUAAUAAAGAUAGAAGAGAUGAUAGAAUUAGAAAACUACCAUCUUACCACUCCCAGGGAGAUAAAUGUCAGGAAAGUAUAAUUAAUGAGUGCUAAAACUAGAGACCAGCACUUCAGAGGAAUGUUAUAGCUAGUGGUUACCACCUUAACCAGAUGGUCAAAAUUGGUAUCAAAAAUGGUAUAACAAUCUGAUGUCUGAUUCUAAUAUAAUGCAUGAGUUGUACACAUCACCUAUAUUGCCAAAUGUGUAACCUGAACUUAACUGUGCUGAAAACAUGAGACAAGAAAUCCAGACUGAGGAACAUUCUACAAGACAAUUCAUGUCUAUGUCCUGAAACACAGAAAACAGGGCAGUUGUUCUAUAUAGAAAAACAAACCAUGAUUGAAUCUUGGAUUGGAAAAGGAAAAAAAAUAAAAGCCCUAAUACAUUUUUGGAACAA
rnacentral:lncRNA from 10 species